UAUCCCCUGGUUUCUUUUUGUUAUCCUUAGGUUGAGAGCUCGCGAACAGAAUCAUCGGAAUAGAACACGGUGCUGAGACAGAGUUGUUUGGCAAACAGGUGGAAAAUUUGGCGAAGAGAACGGAGACAUUAAUCUCAAACCACACAGCACUUCUCCGUUUGGAAGAAGAGUGUAUUUUAAAACAUGGAACAGUGUCGUUAGCCGGUAGAUUGAGCCCUAGCACUUUCUUGUACCUAAAUCGCGAAGUUGGGUCCCUCGACCCAGCCCGUUAGCUGUUUGGCUAGCUAGCAUUGCAUUAUUAGCGAUGUAGCUCGCUAACUAGCAAAUUUGUCAGCCAAGGGGUUCAGUCGCAAAGCAAAUAUAUUUCGUUGUUUGCAUAUGGAAACUAUCAUGGUAUAAACUAUUCAGUUAUUAGAUUAAACCCCUCGGGACAUGCAUGAUCUGGAGAAUAGCUGUUUAUUGAAGAUUUGCUGAAGGAGAGAGAAUUACCCUCCUAGUAGCAAGCCAUUGUGUGAUGAUGGAAAAUGCAAUGUAUGAGGACGAACCUUUGUAACUAACUUAGCUGGCUGACCAGGCAGUUGGCACCACAUAUCAAGGAUUCUGGAUGAUUCUUCGACUAGAGCCCAUUGGGGAUCAUUAUUAUCUUUUGGAGAGGUCCUGUAAUUUAUCGCCGAGACAGUCGCAUUGUCUGUCCAUCUGACAGUGGACACAAUGGGGGAGACCAGUCUCAACGAAUCGAAUGUGAAGGUCGCAGUACGUGUUCGUCCUAUGAACAGGAGAGAAAAGGACCUGAACACAAAAUGUAUUGUGGAUAUGGAAGGCAACCAGACCAUCCUGCAUCCAGGCGGAGGAAACCUGGGCAAAGGAGACUCCAGGUGUGUGUGUGUGUGUGUGUGUGUGUGUGCGUGCGUGCACCCACCCAUGGGACUCAGUUUCAGUUGUUGAGAGUGGGUGUCCAGUGAUUUGGAGAGUGUCACAUGACUGUUUGCGUGUCGAUAGUCAGUCUGUCUAUAUCACCUGCUGAGUGCACAAUGAUUUGGGUCAGGAAGAUGGUUUGAGCAGGUCUAUGUGUGAGAGCUUGUGUGUGUCACUCGACGGCCCAUUCCUCUCUCCCAGGCUGCCUGCUGCUCCUCUCCUCAUUCUGCCUGUGUUGGGGCAUAACUCUCCUCCGGCUGACUUCUUCUCUGUUUCUCAACCCUUUCGUUGCCCCGACAACGCGGGGGGAGGUCACGCGGGUCGAUACCAGGCGACCACGGAACCCCCUCUUACUUUUGGAGAAGCUAGGGAGCGAGGGACAUUAAAAAAAAGGGAAGAGAGAGCGAAAGAAGAAGCGCACGUUUGCUUUAGCAUCUGUCGGCCAUAAAGAUCCUCUACUGGCUUUUAUGGGGUUAAACAAGGGAUGCGCUAUCAUUUUUCUCUGCCUUCUUUUCUUCCUGUCUUUUUCCAUCUGGGAGACAAUGGGGCGAGAGGUGGUGGGGGGGUUGCGACGAACAGGUUUCAAACUUGGAGAAAGACUGAGCUGGCUGCUCCCCAUCACACUCCAGACACUUAAACGGUGGAGCUGGGUUCAUGUUGUGGGCCCUGCUGCGGAGACUCAUCCUGGGAUGGAGAGAUGAAUGCUAAAGAGAGGCCCUCCUCACUCCUAUAGAGCCUCUACUGAUUCUCAUGGCACCAAAUGCCUUCCUAUGGCCCCAGUUCACACGACUGUCUGCAGUAUACAUAGCUCAGUGUUGUGCCCAGUUUAUUUAGGACAGAGGGACCUCUCCCACUCCCAUAGGCUUUCAUUGCCAUAGGGCCCCAGAUGCCUCCUAUGGCCCCAGUUCACAUGACUGCAGUAUGAGUGUAUCUGUGUCUGUGGUGGUGGAGGGGGGUCCCACUCCCCAUGAGCUCCAGGAGCAGACAGCGCUUCCACUAGAGUUCUCUCUGAUGACGUAGGCCUAACCCAAUCUGUAUCUUUCCACACCCCUGUCCCUUUUCCUGCUCCCAGCAUGUGGAGGGUGGGACGUUGUUGCCUGUCUUAACUGAUCUCUCUCCAUUGUGACUAGUGGAACAUUGACCUUGCAAUGUUUUGUCUCUUCUCCUGUGUCUUAAAGUUAAUGGCCGAUAAGGUGUUUUUCUCCCCUGUAGCAAUAGUUACAAACAGGGAUAGCCCUCUCUGUUAAUCAAUCAAAUGUAUUUAUAAAACCAUUUUUACAUCAUCAGAUGUCACAACGUGCUUAUACACAAACCCAGCCGCAGGCAGAACAGUUGAAACUGGAGCAGCUUCUGUGUUGCCUGAUCGUGUAUUGUGAUUCAUGAGUGGAAAAUGAUCAUGUCUAAUGAAUGGUCAAUAGGCCUACAGUACACGGUCUAUUGUUGAUACCCUGGCUGAGGCUGGGUGGGCCCGACAGCUGGCUCGCUCAUAUCCUUCCUGCUGCCAUUAGUUUGCAUAGUGACGAAAGGCUUUAUUUGCAUAAGUGUUGGAAUGCAGUGUUGCCUUGUUCAGUCAGACUUGGGCUCAAACUCUCAACAUGUCAUUUCAUAUUAUAUGUGGUGGCCAAUAUACCAUGGCUAAGGUCUGUUCAUAGUCACGACGCAACGCGGAGUGGAUACAUCCCUUAGCCAUGGUAUAUUGGCCAUAUAUCACAAACACCUGAGGUGCUUUAUUGCUGUUAUAAACUGGUUACCAACGUAAUUAGAGCAGUAAAAAUGUAUGUUUUGUCAUACCCGUGGUAUACUGUCUGAUAUACCGCAGCUGUCAGCCAAUCAGCAUUCAGGUCUCGAACCACCCAGUUUAUUAUAUUGACAAGUUGUUUAUUACACAUAGGAAAUGCGUAGCUGUGAAUGGAAAAAACACAUAGAGGUAGCCAACACAAUGAUGCCUCCAUCUGAAGUGUUGUUCAAACAAGUCCUCUUUUUAAUUGCAUGUAGUGUGAUCCAUAUAAAAGCACAAUGAAGCCACACUCAUUUGACACGAUUAUAAACACAGUUGGUCGUUCCUGAGAGGGUAACCUUUAAUGUGGUUGAUGUCAUAUAUUGUGGGCCAAGCCUUAAAGGCCCAGUCCACUGACCUGACCGCUCAUCGCUGACCUCUGCUUGUUAUUCAGAGUAGUAUUGUGAUCAGACACCCAUCAGACACCCAUGGCAUAAUCACUCAUUCGAAUGUGUGUGUUCUGCUGAAGCAGUGCGAUUGCUAAUUACAGGGAUGCAAAUAGGUCAUUAUUCAGUGAUAUUCUCAGUUUUGAUCGCAAAAUAGGUCAUCCAAGUUAAUCGUGUAGAUAGCCGUUACCAGCCAUUAGGCUACUACCUUCUCUUCAUCUGUUAUUUCUGCUCAUCUCCAUCAGUUAAUAAAUGUUAUUUAGCCCUGAUGGUGAGCUGGGGUGUGCAGACAGUGGUGUAAAGUACUUAAGUAAAGAUACCCCCCCAAACUACUUUCAAGUAUCUGUACUGUACUUUACUAUUAAUAUUUUUUACAACUUUUACAUUUACUUCACUACAUUCCUAAAGAAAAUAAUGAACUUUUUUACUCCAUACAUUUUCCCUGACACCCAAAAGUAGUCUUUACAUUUUGAAUGCUUAACAUGACAGGAAAAUUCUCCAAUUCACGCACUUAUCAAGAGAACAUCCCUACUGCCUCUGAUCUGGUGGACUCACUGAACACAUGCUUUGUUAGUAAAUUAUGUCUGAAUGUUGUGUACUCCUGGCUAGCUGUACAUGUUUUAAACAAGAAAAUUAUGCUGUCUGGUUUGCUUAUUAUAAGGAAUGAAUAUAACUUUUUUAGACUUUUAGUCAAGUAUUAUUUUACUGUGUGACUUGAGUCAUUUUCUAUUAAGGUAUCUUUACUUUUACUCAAGUAUGACAAUUGGGUACUUUUUACACCCCUGGCAGACAGUGAUGGGGUUUCUGUUACAAUUUAUUUAAUUAUUGCAGCGACUCAUUUCGCAUGUAAGAGCAAGCAGGCCAGUCUGACUAGGCUUUGCUGUCGUAUAGGAAAAACUGAGCACAGUGACAGUCAUGGGCUCAAACCCCUGUCUACCGCCAAUUGGCGCACAUGUGGGCCGUGAGUUUUUGGGAAAAUGCAGAUAAUAAUACUGAACAAAAAGACCCUGUGGUAUCACGGUGCUACUCCUGAUACUUGGCCUGGUAUCAAUCACACCGUUAGAAAAAUUUCCUAUUGUGACAAUGCGCAAAUUUACCCCCCCCCCCUUUUUUUGGGCCAUCAAAUUUUAUUUGUCACAUGCGCCGAAUAGAACAGGUGUAGACCUUACUGUGAAACGCUUACUUACAAGCCCUUAACCAACAAUGCAGUUUUAAGAAAAUAAUUACUAAAUAAACUAAAGUAAAAAAAUAAGAGUAACAAUAAUGAGACUAUAUACGGAGUACCGUUACCGAGUCAAUGUGCGGGGGUACAGGUUAGUCAAGGUAAUUUAGGUAAUAUGUAGGUAAGGGUAAAGUAACUGUAUAGAUAAUUGUAAAAAAAAAAGGGGGGGGGGGGUCAAUUCAAAUAAUCCUGGGUAGCCAGUUGAUUAGCUGUUCAGCAGUCUUAUGGCUUAGAGGUAGAAGCUGUUAAGAAGCCUUUUGGACCUAGACCUGGCACUCCGGUAUCAAUUGCUUUGUGGAACCAGAAAGAACAGUCUAUGACUUGGGGGACACCGCAAUUUUUAGGGCCUUCCUCUGACACCGCCUGGUAUGGAGUUCCUGGAUGGCAGGAAGCUUUGCCCCAGUGAUGUACUGGGCCAUACGCACUACCCUCUGUAGCGCCUUGCUGAGCAGUUGCCAUACCAGCCGGUGAUGUAACCAGUCAGGAUGCUCUUGAUGGUGCAGCUGUAACAUGGACCAUGAUAGUUUAUUGCAGCUUGAAGCUCUCAACCUGCUCCACUACAGCCCCGUCGAUGAGAAUGGGGGUGUGCUCGGCCUUUUGAGGUCACUAUGGUGUUGAACGCUGAGCUGUAGUCAAUGAAAAGCAUUCUCACGUAGGUGUUCCUUUUGUCCAGGUGGGAAAGGGCGGUGUUGAGUGAGUGCAAUCGAGAUUGCAUCAUCUGUGGAUAUGUUGGGACUGUAUGCAAAUUGGAGUGGUCACCAGUUUGCAUCCCUGUACUAUUUAGGUCAAUAGUACAGUAAGGAGCACAAGGGAGGGUGUCCCCUACCCCAUCCUCCCUAACCCUUACCUGUAAUAGUCUGUAGCCCAGCCUGAACCUUGUCCCUCUCCAUACUCACCCUCCCUAUGCCUUCCGCAACCAUGGCAUGCACAGUCACAGGAGAGGGGAGUGAGCGGCCAGCGUGCAUCCACGCGGAAACUUAUUUUUUUAAGUGACUGCAAUCGUAACAGAGAGAACCAGAGAACGAACGAGGAAGGACGGGCGGGCGGGCGAGCACUCAGUCUCCUGACUGCCUCCCUCUGUCCUCUCAUUGGCCGGUGGGCCGUAUCGCGUGAUCUGUAACUGGGUUAUGGGGUGCAGGACGGGGCCCCUCACAGCCCUCUGGAGUCUGAAAUCCCCCAACCCAGUGCUGCAUCCCGGCCCCUGAUUCGCUGUGACAGCUGUCAGUGUGGCGACCGUCAACCUCUGAGUGGGUUAUGGCUGGGGGGCGGGAGGGUUCCCCUCUCCUUUAUGGUGAAACUGGGCAAGAAAGACAUCCAGUAACAAUGCAUUGGCGAGGGUUGGUUAGAUUGAGCUGUGCUGUUGGCGAGGGUUGGGUAGAUUGAGCUGUGCUGUUGGCGAGGGUUGGUUAGAUUGAGCUGUGCUGUUGGCGAGGGUUGGUUAGAUUGAGCUGUGCUGUUGGCGAGGGUUGGUUAGAGUGAGCUGUGCUGUUGGCGAGGGUUGGUUAGAGUGAGCUGUGCUGUUGGCGAGGGUUGGUUAGUGUGCUGUUGGCCAGGGUUGGUUAGAGUGUGCUGUUGGCCAGGGUUGGUUAGAGUGUGCUGUUGGCCAGGGUUGGUUAGAGUGUGUUGUUGGCCAGGGUUGGUUAGAGUGUGUUGUUGGCCAGGGUUGGUUAGAGUGUGCUGUUGGCCAGGGUUGGUUAGAGUGUGCUGUUGGCCAGGGUUGGUUAGAUUGAGCUGUGCUGUUGGCGAGGGUUGGUUAGAUUGAGCUGUGCUGUUGGCGAGGGUUGGUUAGAUUGUGCUGUUGGCGAGGGUUGGUUAGAUUGUGCUGUUGGCGAGGGUUGGUUAGAGUGUGCUGUUGGCGAGGGUUGGUUAGAGUGUGCUGUUGGCGAGGGUUGGUUAGAUUGUGCUGUUGGCGAGGGUUGGUUAGAGUGUGCUGUGCUGUUUGGCUGCAGGGUUUAUACUGACUCACUGCACUAUACAGUGUUCACUAAGUUCUUGAAGAAAUUGGGGGAAAUUAUGGGCUGGGCUGUGGGGUUUUCUCUCACUGUGUGUGUGUGUGUGUGUGUGUGUACACGAGACACGGCUCCUGGUCUUGGAGAGAUGAGUAUGAUGGGAAAAGCCAGAGAUAAAAGGAAGGGGGGUGGUGGAAUGAGAGACAGAGGCAUCAUGAUGGAAGGAUAGAAGAGAGACAGAGGAAUCGUGAUGGAAGGAUAGAAGAGACAGAGACAUCGUGAUGGAAGGAUAGAAGAGACAGAGACAUCGUGAUGGAAGGAUAGAAGAGACAGAGACAUCGUGAUGGAAGGAUAGAAGAGACAGAGACAUCGUGAUGGAAGGAUAGAAGAGACAGAGACAUCGUGAUGGAAGGAUAGAAGAGACAGAGACAUCGUGAUGGAAGGAUAGAAGAGACAGAGACAUCAUGAUGGAAGACAGAGCAGACAUGUUCAAAGCCUCUAUGGGCCUAGAGGGUAAAUCACACAGCCUAUCUACUCUGUAUUGGAGAAUGGCACAAAAGUUUUACUUACUGGGGUGAUAUGCUAUGUAGGCCUAUAUGUCUGUUCUAUGUAGCCUACUGUCAGUUGGAGCUAUUAGGGAAAUAGGCUAUGAAGGCUUAUGUCAGUUGUUCUAUGUAGCUUAGUGUCAGUGAAAUGACAUAGGGCAAUUCCACUAUAACGGAGUGAUGUUGAGACUCAGAUUUUUCACUUUCAAAUGUAUAUAAAACAAAAACCAAUGAUUGCAAAGUUAAACAAAACAUACAACUCUAUGGAAUUGUCCCGUGUCAGAUACCUGCCAGAGUUUUGGAUGUUUUUAAAGAGCUGAAGUUCAGCUGAGGCAUUUUCAAAGAAUGUGCAUGGAUAAAGAGAAACAGGUGUCUGUCUGUGUUGGCCAUAUCACAAAGUGAAAUGUAUUAGUUGGUGAAAUAUUUGUGUUUCGAUUGUCAACAAUCUCUUUGUCGUUUGCGUCAAGUGUAUGUUUGUUUUUUUCGUGUGUGCGCGUGCGACACUUCUAGCGUGUGCCUCUGAGUGUAUGUUUUUUUCCAUGAAGUGUGUGUGUGUCGUCUAUGCCUUCAGGUUGUUUUGCCUGUAGUGCUCAUCUUAUGAGUCUGAUUCCGUCCUGUCUGGUUUGACAGGUAUCAUGGAGGGAUGAGUGAAAUGGAGGACAAGAAAGGGCUAGAGGCUGAUGUUAUGGGGGAGGAGAGGAUGACCAGAGGAGUGGGCUGAGUGUACAAAACAUUAAGAACUAUGCUCUUUCCUUGACAGACUAAGUGAAAGCUAUGAUCCCUUCUUGAUGUCACUUGUUCAAUCCACUUCAAUCAGGGUAGAUGAAGGGUAGGAGAUGGGUUAAAUAAUUCUUUUUUUUUGUUAAACCUUGAGACAAUUGAGGCAUGGAUUGUGUGCCAUUCAGAGGGUGAAUGGGUAAGACAACAGAUGUAAGUGCCUUUGAACGGGGUAUGGUUUGUGUCAAGAACCACAACGCUGCUGGGUUUUUCACGUUCAACAGUUUCCCGUGUGUAUCAAGAAUGGUCCACCACCCAAAAGACAUCCAGCCAUCUUGACACAACUGUGGGAAGCAUUGGAGUCAACAUGGGCCAGCAUCCCUGUGGAAGGCUUUUGACACCUUGUAGAUGCUAUGCCCCCAACGAAUUGAGGCUGUUCUGAGGGGGGGGGGGGGUGGGUUCGCAUCUCAAUAUUAGGAAGGUGUUCUAAUUGUUUUUUUCAGUCAGUGUAUUGAGCCUGCAAGUGCAAUAUGUUUUAUUGUUAUUGUCAGAUACACCAAGAUAGGUGCAGUGAAAUGUGUUUUACAGGGGCAGACAUAGUAGUACGGCGCACCUGGAGUGAAUUAGGAUGAAGUGCCUUAAGGGCACGUAGACCGAUUUUCACGUCGGAUCGGGUAUACGAACCAGCAACCUUUCGGUCACUGGCCCAAUGCUCUUAAUGCUAGGCAAGGGAAGACAUGGAGUAGAAAAAGAGGUAGAGGCAGAAGGAGGGAGGAUUGACAAAGCACUUGUGAAUGACAAUGAUGAUUUGAUGCUGCUGAACACUAGAGCUAGCAGAUGUGAUGUUAGUUCCCACUAGAACUAGCCUAUGCUAGCUUGGGUUUGGCUGCAGUUGAUUAGAGCCCUUCAGAUUUACUGCAUUUAAUCUCAUAAGCCUAAUGAAGAAAUUACAUGUUUUUGACAGCCACCCCCAAAAAAUGUUGAGGUGUAUGGUGGUAGUGCAGCCCUUUUGGAUUGGAUUAGGUUAGUGAGAAAUUCAUGACUCUUCUGAUGGUUUAGAUGGACAGAUGUAGUAACAGGACUAUCACCACCUAGGGGGUUACAUUCCACUCCCAUCUCUUCCUCCGCUAGGCUGUCUCGGUGGUAUGUAGCCAGGCCUAUAUAAGCUGUGCACACGUGUGUUGGGGAAUGCGAGAGCAGCAGCUGCUGUUAUAGCAGAGCUCCAUCCCAAAUUGAGGAUAAAAGCUCCCAAACAGUUUUACAGGGACUCUGCGACAGGAUAAAUCUAUUGUCCGGAAUGAUAGUAAACAAAGCAGCACGUCACAGGAGAGUGGAGAGGAUUCCCCCUGCCAUUAGUCAAUGCUUGUCUUCACUGGGACCACUCCAGGGUUUGGGUUAAUUGGGGCAUGAACUGAAUUUAACAGCCUAGCCAAUAAACUCCCAAACUACCAAAUAAUCUAAGUGAGGUCUGAGGCACAGCCCACUAGAUAGAGGGAAGUUGUCUGGCUAGAGGACACUAGAUUUAACUCUCCUGGCUGGGAAUGGUAGUUUCUGUUCUGACUCCACAAGCCUCUGUUUUUACUGUUGAGUUUGAUUGAAUGUCCAAUUUGUAAGCCACUUUCCUUCAGGAAUCUUCUAGGAAAGGAUCUGGGAAGUUAGAGCUGUUUGCUUAUAUUUCGCCUACCUGGUUGUCACCGCGCUGCCAAUGGGAGUGAACAGUCACACAAUAUUGCACAGACAGACAGACAGACAGACAGACAGACAGACAGACAGACAGACAGACAGACAGACAGACAGACAGACAGACAGACAGACAGACAGACAGACAGACAGACAGACAGACAGACAGACAGACAGACAGACAGACAGACAGACAGACAGACAGACAGACAGACACAGACACAGACACAGACACAGACACAGACACAGACACAGACACAGACACAGACACAGACACAGACACAGACACAGACACAGACACAGACACAGACACAGACACAGACACAGACACAGACACAGACACAGACAGACACAGACACAGACACAGACAGACACAGACAGACACAGACAGACACAGACACAGACACAGACACAGACACAGACACAGACACAGACAGACAGACAGACAGACACAGA